AGUUACCAAUGACCUGAGGGAAGAAAGAUCAACAGCAUUUAGGCAAGUCCACCGUUCUUCUGUAAAGGCACCCUGUAUGCAUAAUUAAAUACGAAACUUAAGCAAGUUUGUAAUGAAGAAGAUGUAGACAACGAUGAGGACGACAGCAAUAUUAUGUGAAUGCGUUUGAUUUGUAACACAUCCUCUAUAUUGUUUCCGAUACAACAUUCUACUUCGCAAAUGGUUCCAUUGUGACAGAACAGCUAUGAAUUUCCUUUGUCAAGGCUUGAUUCAGAGAGAGUGCAGCCAUCUGCUUUUCUCAAUAUCCAAGAUUUUUAAGUGUGCACUAUGGAGUUUUGUACACUAGGCCCCUUGUUUAUUUUUGAUAUUUCUUUGACAUUUUUAAAAUCAAUUGAACUUGCCAAAUACUGACUGAAAUAACUGUACUUACAGAAAUAGUAUAGAAUUGUCAGCACUUGACUCUAUCUUGAUUUUGAUUUAUUAUUUUUUUGGAUGUUGAUUAUUGUAUAUCCUUUUGUCCUAUAUUUAAAUGGGGCUUUUGCUAAUUUACAGUAUAAUACAGUACAGGACGCAUUAAACAUUAAAGGAUAAACACAUAACGCUA